UGUGAGUCUGCAUGUCUCAGUGAGACACCUGGUGCUUGUAAGCAAUAUUUACUUAACAAUAUUAAGACUUAAAGAUAGAGGGAACUUAAAGCCGAUCGAUGCUACAGCAACUUUGAACAAAACUGAUGAUGACCAGAGGGAUUUUAACUAUUACUGCCAUCAUAUACAUCUGAUAGUUGUUACAUCUGAUGGUUGUUACAUCUGAUGGUUGUUACAUCUGAUGGUUGUUACAUCUGAUGGAGGUUACAUCUGAUGGAGGUUACAUCUGAUGGUUGUUACAUCUGAUGGUUGUUACAUCUGAUGGAGGUUACAUCUGAUGGUUGUUACAUCUGAUGGUUGUUACAUCUGAUGGUGGAAUUUUAAGAUUAUUUUACUUACUUUACUUAUUUAACAAAUUUGACUAUCAUUGAAUGUGCCAUUGACCAUCUUUCAACCUUUAUUUUGUUAAUUUUACAGAAUAAAAAAACAGGUCAGAAAUAUAAUAAUAUAGUGGGAUGAUUGUGAAACGUGCUGUCCUCCAGAGGAUAAACCCCAUGAAGGGUCAGUCAUCAUUUAUCAGUUUAUUCAUGCCUCUGAAUCCAUCUCCUCUCCCUGCCGCUCUCACCUCCUGCUUCUUCUCC
ensembl:lncRNA